rnacentral:rRNA from 1 species
CAUUAAGUUCCCCGCCUGGGGAGUACGGCCGCAAGGCUAAAACUCAAAGGAAUUGACGGGGGCCCGCACAAGCGGCGGAGCAUGCGGAUUAAUUCGAUGCAACGCGAAGAACCUUACCAAGGCUUGACAUAUGCGAGAACGCGGCAGAGAUGUCGUUCUCUUUGGACACUCGCAUACAGGUGGUGCAUGGUUGUCGUCAGCUCGUGUCGUGAGAUGUUGGGUUAAGUCCCGCAACGAGCGCAACCCUCGUUCUAUGUUGCCAGCACGUGAUGGUGGGGACUCAUAGGAGACUGCCGGGGUCAACUCGGAGGAAGGUGGGGAUGACGUCAAAUCAUCAUGCCCCUUAUGUCUUGGGCUUCACGCAUGCUACAAUGGCCGGUACAAAGGGCUGCGAUACCGCGAGGUGGAGCGAAUCCCAAAAAACCGGUCUCAGUUCGGAUUGGGGUCUGCAACUCGACCCCAUGAAGUCGGAGUCGCUAGUAAUCGCAGAUCAGCAACGCUGCGGUGAAUACGUUCCCGGGCCUUGUACACACCGCCCGUCAAGUCACGAAAGUCGGUAACACCCGAAGCCGGUGGCCCAACUCUUUGAGAGGGAGCCGUCGAAGGUGGGACUGGCGAUUGGGACUAAGUCGUAACAAGGUAGCCGUACCGGAAGGUGCGGCUGGAUCACCUCCUUUCUA